rnacentral:miRNA from 1 species
AGGGGACCCUCUCUGCCCU